UAGAGUUUGAUCCUGGCUCAGGAUGAACGCUAGCGACAGGCCUAACACAUGCAAGUCGAGGGGCAUCGGGGCUAGGAGCAAUCCUUGCCGCCGGCGACCGGCGCACGGGUGAGUAACGCGUAUGCGACCUGCCCGUUGCAGGGGGAUAAUCGGGAGAAAUCCCGUCUAAUACCGCGUAAUGCCGCGGGGCUGCAUGGCCCUGCGGCCAAAGGGAGCGAUUCCGGCAACGGAUGGGCAUGCGUGACAUUAGCUAGUUGGCGGGGCAACGGCCCACCAAGGCGACGAUGUCUAGGGGUUCUGAGAGGAAGGUCCCCCACACUGGUACUGAGACACGGACCAGACUCCUACGGGAGGCAGCAGUGAGGAAUAUUGGUCAAUGGGCGCGAGCCUGAACCAGCCAAGUCGCGUGAGGGAUGACGGCCCUACGGGUUGUAAACCUCUUUUGUCGGGGAGCAAAUUCCGUUACGUGUAACGGAGUCGAGAGUACCCGAAGAAAAAGCAUCGGCUAACUCCGUGCCAGCAGCCGCGGUAAUACGGAGGAUGCGAGCGUUAUCCGGAUUUAUUGGGUUUAAAGGGUGCGUAGGCGGACUGUCAAGUCAGCGGUAAAAUACGGGGGCUCAACCUCCGCCCGCCGUUGAAACUGACGGUCUUGAGUGGGCGAGAAGUAUGCGGAAUGCGUGGUGUAGCGGUGAAAUGCAUAGAUAUCACGCAGAACUCCGAUUGCGAAGGCAGCAUACCGGCGCCCAACUGACGCUGAAGCACGAAAGCGUGGGUAUCGAACAGGAUUAGAUACCCUGGUAGUCCACGCAGUAAACGAUGAAUACUAGCUGUCCGGGGCGAAUGAGCCCUGGGUGGCACAGCGAAAGCGUUAAGUAUUCCACCUGGGGAGUACGCCGGCAACGGUGAAACUCAAAGGAAUUGACGGGGGCCCGCACAAGCGGAGGAACACGUGGUUUAAUUCGAUGAUACGCGAGGAACCUUACCCGGGCUCAAACGACACAGGAACGUACCUGAAAGGGUUCGGCUCUACGGAGCCUGUGUCGAGGUGCUGCAUGGUUGUCGUCAGCUCGUGCCGUGAGGUGUCGGCUUAAGUGCCAUAACGAGCGCAACCCCCAUCGACAGUUGCUAACAGGUCAGGCUGAGGACUCUGUCGAGACUGCCGGCGCAAGCUGCGAGGAAGGCGGGGAUGACGUCAAAUCAGCACGGCCCUUACGUCCGGGGCGACACACGUGUUACAAUGGCAGGUACAGCGGGAAGCCACCUGGCGACAGGGAGCGGAACCCGAAAGCCUGUCUCAGUUCGGAUUGGAGUCUGCAACCCGACUCCAUGAAGCUGGAUUCGCUAGUAAUCGCGCAUCAGCCACGGCGCGGUGAAUACGUUCCCGGGCCUUGUACACACCGCCCGUCAAGCCAUGGAAGCCGGGGGUGCCUGAAGUGCGCUGCCGCGAGGAGCGCCCUAGGGUAAAACCGGUGACUGGGGCUAAGUCGUAACAAGGUAACCGUAA
rnacentral:rRNA from 1 species